AGAGUUUGAUCCUGGCUCAGGAUGAACGCUGGCGGCGUGCCUAAUACAUGCAAGUCGAACGCGAGCCUUUGGGCUCGAGUGGCGAACGGGUGAGUAAUACGUAAGCAACCUGGCCUUUACAGGGGGAUAACUGAUGGAAACGUCAGCUAAGACCGCAUAGGUACAGAGAUCGCAUGAUAACUGUAUUAAAAGUGCUACGGGACUGGUAGAGGAUGGGCUUACGGCGCAUUAGCUGGUUGGAGGGGUAACGGCCCACCAAGGCGACGAUGCGUAGCCGACCUGAGAGGGUGACCGGCCACACUGGGACUGAGACACGGCCCAGACUCCUACGGGAGGCAGCAGUAGGGAAUUUUCGGCAAUGGGGGGAACCCUGACCGAGCAACGCCGCGUGAAGGAAGAAGGAAUUCGUUCUGUAAACUUCUGUUAUAAAGGAAGAACGGCACAUAUAGGGAAUGAUAUGUGAGUGACGGUACUUUAUGAGGAAGCCACGGCUAACUACGUGCCAGCAGCCGCGGU
rnacentral:rRNA from 1 species